rnacentral:rRNA from 1 species
UACGAAGGGGGCUAGCGUUGCUCGGAAUCACUGGGCGUAAAGGGUGUGUAGGCGGGCUUUUAAGUCAGUGGUGAAAUCUCCGGGCUCAACCUGGAAACUGCCAUUGAUACUAUUAGUCUUGAAUUCUGUUGAGGUAGGCGGAAUAAGUCAUGUAGCGGUGAAAUGCAUAGAUAUGACUUAGAACACCAAUUGCGAAGGCAGCUUACUAAGCAGAUAUUGACGCUGAGGCACGAAAGCGUGGGGAUCAAACAGG